UCUCAGACACAUUUAUUUGGCCUAUUCGGUGUUUCUAAGAGCACCGUUGGAUUAGCUGCUGUAUUUUAAAGUGGGGGCCUUUGCAUAAAAAUCUGGAGCUCUGCUGGGUUUGGGCUUUCCAAAAUCAAGCUCUUAAUGAUGCAUUGCCUUUUUGUUCUAAUUGAUGUCAUCUGGAAAGAUCCCACGAAAUCCUAAGUAGUGGUUUAGAUCAUACAGCUGUGCAAAGGCAGAG